UACGUAGGGGGCUAGCGUUGUCCGGAAUCAUUGGGCGUAAAGAGCGCGUAGGCGGCCAGACAAGUCCGGUGUGAAAGUCAAGGGCUCAACCCCUUGAAAGCCGGCCGAUACUGUCGGACUAGAGUCCGGAAGAGGCGAGUGGAAUUCCCGGUGUAGCGGUGAAAUGCGCAGAUAUCGGAAGGAACGCCGGUGGCGAAAGCGAUCCGCUGGACCCCUUCUGACGGCUGAUGCGCGAAAGCCAGGGGAGCAAACGGG
rnacentral:rRNA from 1 species